GCCGCGGGCCGGGAGGGGCGGCGGCAUCCGCGGCGGCCGCGGGGGAGGGGCACGGCGUCAGCGCGUCGCCGGCUGGGCCGCGCCGGUGGCCAGGAGGGAGAGACAAGGAGGAGGAGGAGGAGGAGGUAUCUCUGCAUUAGCCAGAUUGGACAUAUGUAAAGGGACAUCAGUAUAUCUGGAUAAUCAGGUGUGCUUCAAGAAGACCAUAGGGAAGAACGCAUUUUCAUCUUGCUGCAAAAGUUGCAAUAGAAGAU
rnacentral:lncRNA from 1 species